CCAGAACUCCACCAGGGCGAGCGGCGGUAGCGGGGUCGACAGGGGGAGCCGUGGCCGUUGAUCCCACGCGGCGAGGACGGGAGCUGGCUGAGAGUCACUGCUGACUGCCGAGUUGGGGUGCAGGGCCCCGUCCGGGUCGACUCGGUGCAGGAAACGCACAGUGUGGAAGGGGAUGCUCAGAUCCAGGAAGAUCGAAGCUGUAAGACUCCUCAGGCCAGUGGAGCGGAGCAGGGCAAGAGUCUCGGCCCCAGGAAGAGGA